rnacentral:rRNA from 1 species
UUAUUGGGCGUAAAGGGCUCGCAGGCUGCUUGAACAGUUAGACGUGAAAUCCCCGGGCUUAACCUGGGAACUGCGUUUAAUACUAGCAAGCUAGAGAAAUAGAGAGGAAAGUGGAACUCCAGUGUAGAGGUGAAAUUCGUAGAUAUUGGGGAAGAACACCAGUGGCGAAGGCGACUGCCUGGGCUGACAUUGACGCUGAGGUGCGAAAGCGUGGGUAGCAAACAGGAUUAGAUACCCUGGUAGUCCACGCUGUAAACGCUGAGAACUAGUCGUUGGGGCUAUUAGAGCCUUAGUGACGCAGCUAACGCGAUAAGUUCUCCGCCUGGGGAGUACGGCCGCAAGGUUAAAACUCAAAUGAAUUGACGGGGACCCGCACAAGCAGUGGAGCAUGUGGUUUAAUUCGAAGAUACGCGCAGAACCUUACCAACACUUGACAUGUUCGUCGCGACUCUAAGAGAUUAGAGUUUUCGGUUCGGCUGGAUCAGUGACAGGUGCUGCAUGGCU